rnacentral:rRNA from 1 species
GAUGAACGCUAGCGGCAGGCUUAAUACAUGCAAGUCGAGGGAUAGCACAGGUAGCAAUACUGGGUGGUAACCGGCAAACGGGUGCGGAACACGUACACAACCUUCCUUUAAGUGGGGGAUAGCCCAGAGAAAUUUGGAUUAAUACCCCGUAAUAUAGUUGAAUGGCAUCAUUUGAUUAUUAUAGCUACGGCGCUUAAUGAUGGGUGUGCGGCUGAUUAGAUAGUGGGCGGGGUAACGGCCCACCAAGUCUACGAUCAGUAGCUGAUGUGAGGGCAUGAUCAGCCACACGGGCACUGGAACCCGGGCCCGACUCCUACGGGAGGCAGCAGUAAGGAAUAUUGGUCAAUGGACGCAAGUCUGAACCAGCCAUGCCGCGUGAAGGAUUAAGGUCCUCUGGAUUGUAAACUUCUUUUAUUUGGGACGAAAAAGGGCCUUUCUAGGUCAACUGACGGUACCAGAUGAAUAAGCACCGGCUAACUCCGUGCCAGCCGCCGCCGUAACAC